rnacentral:misc_RNA from 1 species
AGCAGCCGCGGUAAUUCCAGCUCCAAUAGCGUAUAUUAAAGUUGUUGCAGUUAAAAAGCUCGUAGUUGAACUUCGGGGUCUACCCAUUGGUCAGGCUUAAUUGUCUGCACUGGUGAGAUGGAUCUCUACCUUCUGAGGAACUUUCAUGCCAUUUAUUUGGUGUGAUGGGAAAUCAGGACUGUUACUUUGAAAAAAUUAGAGUGUUUAAAGCAGACUAUCGUCUGAAUACAUUAGCAUGGAAUAAUGAAAUAGGACGGACUGAUUCUAUUUCGUUGGUUUCUAGGAUCACCGUAAUGAUUAAUAGGGAUAGUUGGGGGCAUUAGUAUUCAAUUGUCAGAGGUGAAAUUCUUGGAUUUAUUGAAGACUAACUACUGCGAAAGCAUUUUGCCAAGGAUGUUUUCAUUAAUCAAGAACGAAAGUUAGGGGAUCGAAGACGAUCAGAUACCGUCGUAGUCUUAACCAUAAACUAUGCCGACUAGGGAUCGGACGAAGUUAAUUUUAUAAUGACGCGUUCGGCACC